GUUGAACGCUGGCGGCGUGCUUAACACAUGCAAGUCGAACGGAAAGGCUCCUCCUUGUCGUGGUUUUCGAGUGGCGCACGGGAGAGUAACACGUGGGUGAUCUGCCCUGCACUUCGGGAUGAGCCUGGGAAACUGGGUCUACUACAGGCUAGGACGGUGGUUUGGAUGCCAUUGUGGAAAGUUUUUUCGGUGUGGGAUGAGCUCGCGGCCUAUCCGCUUGUUGGUGGGGUAAUGGCCUACCAACGCGUCGCCGGGUCGCCGGCCUGAGAGGGUGUACGGCCACAUUGGGACUGAGAGACGGAGCAGACGCGAACAGGAGACAGCAGGGGAGAGUAUUGCACAAUGGGCGCGAGCGUGUGAAAGCGGCGCCGCGUGGGGAAUGACCGCCAACGGGUGGGGAACUGCUGUCACUUAAGACGAAGCGCAAGUGACGGUACCUGGAGAAGAAGCACCGGCUAACUACGUG
rnacentral:rRNA from 1 species